rnacentral:lncRNA from 1 species
UGUUUUUUGACUUUUUAAUAAUAGCCGUUCUGACUAGUGUGAGCUGGUAUCUCAUUGUGGUUUUGAUUUGCACUUCUCUAAUGAUCAGUGAUGUUGAGCUUUUGUUCAUAUGAUUUUUGGUACAUAUACACCAUGGAAUACUAUGCAGCUAUAAAAAAGAAUGAGAUCAUGUCCUUGGCAGAAACAUGGAUGGAGCUGGAGGCCAUUAUCCUUAGCCAAAUAAUGCAGGAAGUGAAAACCAAAUACUGUGUGUUCUCACUUAUAAAUGAUGAGAACACAUGACACAUAGAAGGGAACAACACAGACUGGGGCCUACCAGAGGUCAGAGGGUGGGAGGAGGGGAGAGGAUCAGGAAAAAUAGCUAAUGGAUACCAGGCUUAAUACCUGGGUGAUGAAAUAAUUUGUACAACAAACCCCCAUGACACACAUUUACCUAUGUAACAUACCUGCACAUACUGCACAUGUACCCCGAACUUAAAAACUUAAAAGCAUAUAUAUACGUGUGUGUGUGUGCGUAUAUAUAUAUAUAUAUAUAUAUAUAUAUAUAUAUAUAUAUUCUAUCUAUCCAUCUGUGUGUGUGUGUGUGUGUGUGUGUGUGUGUAAUGACAUACAGGUCUAAUUGAGGACUGGGACAGGAACCUUCCUGAUUUAAGCGAGACCCCCUCUUUGUCCUCCGGGGCUCAGUCUGAGGCUCCAGAAAGCAAGAGGUGAAAGGAGCAAAAGGUGUCCUUUUCCAAUUAGAGUACGGAUUAUCCUCAGCUUCUAGAAAUGCAAAGCCUUAGCCACAGUGGUUCCUGUGAGCACGUGCCUCACCACACGUGUUCACACCUAGAAAGCAGUCUGUGGAACACACUCUUAUUUUGAAAGAGAAA